UACGUAGGUGGCAAGCGUUGUCCGGAAUUAUUGGGCGUAAAGCGCGCGCAGGCGGUCCUUUAAGUCUGAUGUGAAAGCCCACGGCUCAACCGUGGAGGGUCAUUGGAAACUGGGGGACUUGAGUGCAGGAGAGAAGAGUGGAAUUCCCAGUGUAGCGGUGAAAUGCGCAGAUAUUGGGAAGAACACCAGUGGCGAAGGCGGUUCUCUGGGACGGUACUGACGCUGAGACGCGAAAGCGUGGGGAGCGAACAGG
rnacentral:rRNA from 1 species